AGUGAACGCUGGCGGUAGGCCUAACACAUGCAAGUCGAACGGCAGCACAGUAAGAGCUUGCUCUUACGGGUGGCGAGUGGCGGACGGGUGAGGAAUACAUCGGAAUCUACUUUUUCGUGGGGGCUAACGUAGGGAAACUUACGCUAAUACCGCAUACGACCUACGGGUGAAAGCGGGGGAUCUUCGGACCUUGCGCGAUUGAAUGAGCCGAUGUCGGAUUAGCUAGUUGGCGGGGUAGAGGCCCACCACGGCGACGAUCCGUAGCUGGUCUGAGAGGAUGAUCAGCCACAUGGGAACUGAGACACGGCCCAGACUCCUACGGGAGGAAGCAGUGGGGAAUAUUGGACAAGGGGGGCAAGCCUGAUCCAGCCAUACCGCGUGGGGGAAGAAGGCCUUCGGGUUGGAAAGCCAUUUUGUUGGGAAAGAAAAGCAGCAGGUUAAUACCGCGCUGUUCUGACGGUACCCAAAGAAUAAGCACCGGCUAACUUCGUG
rnacentral:rRNA from 1 species